rnacentral:misc_RNA from 1 species
AAGUCGUAACAAGGUUUCCGUAGGUGAACCUGCGGAAGGAUCAUUAUCGAGUUCCUGCCCCUCCGGGGUAGAUCUCCCACCCUAGCUUAUCCAACUUUGUUGCUUUGGCGGGCCGUCCGUUCGGCCGGCUGGUGCGUGCCCGUCAGAGACCCACACACGCUCUUGAUUGUGUUGUCUGAGUCCUUAUAUAAUCGUUAAAACUUUCAACAACGGAUCUCUUGGUUCUG